CCUGUUGAUGCUGAUCCUGUGGACUGUGGACUGAAGCUGCCUUGGAGAACAAGCUCUGGUUCUAACUGGUUGAACCCCACAGGAACAAGGUCAUUUCUGCUCUGGACUGAGGAACCUUGUAGUUUUGGUUUCCGUCCUGGAGAUUCACAAGGAGGAAGUGGGAGAGGCGGGACCAUCAUAAUGAACCAAUCAGAGCCCACCUCACCCCACCCGGCCGCCCUCCUAGCCAAUCGCCUUGUGCAAUAUAACGUUAUACUUUGUGAAAGAUUACCAAAACCCUUUUUUUUUUUUUUUUUUGGGCAGAGAAUGUCUCUCUGUCUCUCUCUCUUUGUCUCUCUGUCUCUCUGUCUCUCUAUCUCUCUCUCGCUCUCUCUCUCUCUCUCUCUCUCUCAAACAAACCCUUUAUACAUUUAAAACGGGCAGGUUUGCAAACAAAAAGGGAUAAUUUACGUUUCCAUUUCUUAUGUUUACAAUUAUAAGUAAGAUUCGCUGUGCCAUUAUUUGUUCCGAAUGAUUCCGAAUGAUAGUAGUACAAAUUAGUUAUUUUGUAAUUCACUACCAAUUAUGAUAUACAUACUUGUAUGAUAUGCUCUAUACAAAUACAUUUCAAAAUCAGAUCACAUUUCCAACCAAAUAGAAAGUAUUUUGCCUUUUAAGAAGUAAACUUUACUAUUAAAUCUCUAUUUCAUUAGAUUGUUGAAUGGAAAAGGAAAUAGGUUUCCAGAAUGUAUUUUAGUGUUAAAAUCCAAUGCUAUGGAACUAAUUGACGACCCAAAUGUGACUGAAAAAGAAAUUAAUUCGUAUUUCAAAUGAUAAUUACAUGUUUUCCUUGGCAACCAGAGGCACACUUAUUUAGGAAAAGUAUUACGAUUUGUUUCGGUUGAAUAUACGUGAGCUAUCGUGCGAAAAGUAGCAACAGAACGCCACAUUGGUUUGCGUUGCAGAGGGCUCCCUCCAUAGGUGAAACAGUGCUACUGCAUGUAGAACCGGGCUGAUUGGGUGCUGAUUAAGCGCUGAUGCGACACACCUGGGGUCCGCUUAUUGAACCUGAAAGGAAGUUCAGCCCUGAACUCCUCCAAUGAGAUAAAAACCUUAAAAGGAAGAAUCAAGGCGUUUGAUUCUACUUUCUGUUUCACCGUUUUUCCUGAAUAACAGUUAGGUACCGGAUGCUUUCAGGACUUGGUCCCAGGUAUGCAGUUUUGACCAACGGCAGCUGGCUCUACCGCCCCACUGAGAGGCACUCUGAAAGAAGACCCGAGGGCGUGAAACGUUGAAACGUGGGUCUGCUCCCUACAGUCCAGUCCGGGCAGAGUGGAGCCCGGGCGAAGAUUAUGAGGAUGAAGACCACAACAGCGUCCCCCCCCCCACACCAUAGCCUCGGCGGUCAUAUCAUCUCCACGGUUAGAUGACGUUUUCAAACAGAUGCAUCGACCGCAUGAUGUUAUCGUCCUGCGGGAUGAAAUAACAGCCGUCCUUGUUGAUGUCGUACAGGUUGAAGGCCCAGUUGAGCUUCUCCGUGAUGGUUCCCCUCAGGAGGAUCGAGAGGCCCAUGACGAAAUCCUGACGUUUGAAACAAGAUUCACAGUUUGGGUAACGGUUUCAAAAUGCUUUCGAAAAUAUGUAUUUUUUUUAAGCACAUUUUUUGUAAAACUGGAAAAGAAAGAAUGUCAAAGGAUUUUAUAUGCUAGAAAUAUUAUCACUAGAAUUCUAAAGGGUAGGAUUAAUUUGAAACAAUUAUUUAAAGGCGACGAGACAUUAAUUAAAAAAACUAUCUGAAAAUGUAAGUGAAACACGCUCAACCGAAAAACAACAAUAAUAUCAUAUUGUUAAUAUCGAUUGUUUUUAAUCAAAUCGCCACUAAUAAUAAAUAUAAUCCCAGUAAACCCAGGGGUUGGGGGGGGGGGGGGGGUGGCUUAGAAUAGGACCGAACUGACACACAACACUACACAACAAUCAGAACUACACAUCAAUCAGAGAGACGAGGAACCACUGAGAGGCUUCUCUGUACUAAUAAGCAAGAUUAUACCUUCAUGAAUAUUAAUCGCAUGCUAAUAGCCAUCGCAAACUGGCUGGUUUUAAUUAAAAUGAGUCAUGUUGUGGGCUUAUCUAACGCCCUGGGGAGGUCUGCAACACUAUCCGCGGGUAUCCUCGAAGCAAACUUUUUUCGUUGGAUGAGUUUUUAUCCGUUACAUUGCAGCCUGGGGUCAUUUCAUUUCACAACUGUCAGAACCUGAGGCUCAGACCAACAAAUAAUGAAGCGCUUUCUGUUUCAGAGCAGCCAAGCAAGCAAACACAUUAGGGGCCGUCAAUCUGCUUCAAGCGUCCAUUUGAUGUGCAUGUGUUGUUCAUCAUGGUUUAAUCAUAUUGGAAACUCCCAUUUAUGCAUGUUAAAUACUAGGCACAGUUGAAUAAAGAUUGGCUUCAACAGAACUUGGAUGUUCUAGUAAGAAUGUUUUAAAAAAAAAUACACAGUUUAAGCAUGAUCCUAUAAUAGUACUACAAACAGUACUUGGCAUCUUUUAGCAACUCAACCUAGCCAUCUUUGUUGUUUACGGGGAAUUACAGGUUCCUAGAAACAAGUGCUUGGCACUUGUUUCUAUGAACAUGCUUACUGUACCUAUCUUCUGACCCUAAAUGUAAAUUAUCCAAAACCAUACAAAAGGUUGUACAUCCUUUAAGGAUUGGACGUGUUCUUCCAUUACGGCCACUCAAAUCUCACCUCAAAACUCACAGAUCCAUUGUGGUCCGUGUCGAAGGCGUUGAACAGAAAAUGUGCAUAUGUCGAGGCGUCUGGGGAGAGAGGCAUGGACAAGAACACAACCUGGUUACACAAUUGCACGAAACAAAAGUAUUUUCACAUUCUUAUUUAUUUUAGCAAAAAAUAUUUCAGAAUAUAUAUUUUUUUGUUUAUUGAUAUUUACUUUCAACCCACAAUGAAAGUCCUGUUCAGGUUGGUGUUGUGUGAGUAAGAGUAGCCUAGCUGUGUCUCGUUUAAAUAUAAAUGUCAGACAGGUCACCUAUCGCUCGGGAAAGCCCAAGGGAUUGGUGUACGUCAAGUUUGUGGAUAAGGCACAGGCUUCCCCUGUGGUGCAGAAGUCUGACGGCACGAUUGUGAAUGAUUUGAUGUCGACCUCGAUGCCUAGCCAAGCAUAUGGAUCGAGAGGGAGAGGACAUUCCCAGGUCUCAAAGCUGCCAGGCUCUCUACAGCAACCCAGGAAGGGCUGGUGGUGAAGCUGUGAACGGGACUUCUCCAGACAGUUUCGGUUUAGUUUAGGCUACUACUAGAUUGUUGGGCCAGUUUUUGGCUUUAGUGUGUACUCCAGGGUUAGUUUCUAGACUGUUCUUUAGUUUGUAGUUUGUCUUUUCCUGAAAGGAGAAUGGGAGCUUGAUGGCUCUGUUGGAUUGUGUACUGAAGUCCAAGAGUAAAUAUGUUUUGUGAGACACAGUGGUAACAAUAAGUUUAUGCACCCAUGCUAAAGUUUACUAAAAAGAGGAAUAAAAUAAUCAUCUUUUGGAAAUCGAUUGACAAAUGAGGAAAAAUCCAUCCUUUUAGGCCACUUACGAUACAUUAUUCAUUCAUAAAGAAAAUUGGUGGCCUUAAAGGUGGGAUUUUUCCUCAUUUGUUUAAUUAAGGUAUUCCUUUUUGGUAAACUUUAGCAUGGGUGCAUAAAAGUAUUCUUUCCACUGUAUAUGAGAAACGUCAUUGUUAAAGAAAAAAAUGUUGGAAAGGAAUACAUAGGUAUGUAAAAUUUGAAAAAUAAGUAAAAAAUAUACAUGGGUUGGGUGUUUCACCAUUAUGCUGUUUCCUCUAUGGUUUUACGGUAUAGGUUAGCGUGUGCCUGGCUAGGGUCAGUACUGACGUCUUUCUUUUCUUGAUGCUAACAUUAAUUCUAAACAGCAUUUUACGAAGUAGCCUAUAAUAGGAAAUGCUCAAAGGUAAAUCAGCGUAAUUUAACACUUACUGUAGCUGUUUAUGGGUAAAGUAGCAACGGUGAUGGACCGUUCGAAACGCCCUAUCCAUUGUAUGGGUCUGUAAAAUGCUAAUCAAAUCAAAUGUAUUUAUUAAGCACCUUUAUUAAGGCAAGGGGUUGGGGAGAUUUAUGUUUUAUUUAUGUUUUUUACGAGCAUGUCUACGCUUCAAACUCGUGCAGAUUGCAGAACAUAAGAACAUAUGCAACAGCGCCACCUGGGGUCACACUUUUCGGUGGGUCGCAGAAAUCCUCCUGUUCUUAUGUCUAUGUCUAUUCUAACUUCAACUACCAGUUGAACUUGGUCAUUCCCACUCACCCAUUCAUUCGGAAUGACUGUUUGUGCAAAUUAAUCAUUGUGAAUUAAGUCAUGUUGUUGUUACCCCUUAUGAUUUUUUUCAUGACGACCAAUAAAAAAUAACAGCGUUACCCCUUGUGUUUUUUUCCAUGACGACCAAUAAAAAACAACAGUGUUACCCCUCAUGUUUCAUUUGAUAAAAACAACAGUGUUACCCCCUAUGUUUUAUUCGAUACAUUUCGACAGUGUUACCCCUUAUGGAUUUUUCAUGACGACAGAUAAAAAACGACAGUGUUACCCUUUACGUUUCAUUUGAUAAAAACAACAGUGUUACCCCGCAUGUUUUUUCCCAUGAUGACC